GGGCUACGCAUGCUUAUUUCUCGGCGUUUGGCAUGUGCAGAUAUCCCAAUCCAUCUUAAGCAAUAGAUCUGCUCUGCUUUAAGACAACAGUAGUAAAACAGGAGGUUUAUAAAAUAAGUAUUUGCAUAAGUAUAGAUAUAUAUUGUUUGUCCUAUAAUUUAUUUCUCACAUCUAGCUCUUGAUCUUCUGUAAUUCACUGUUUUGCUGAUGGUAUUUGGUUGUAGGAGCUAGGGACUUCAGUGUAGUCACCAUCCGCACGGUGAUAUGGGUUAAUCUUACUCUGAACAAGCGAGCUGGGAAGUCACGUGGCUGGCUCUGCAUCCACUUCAUCUUAGUUCUCAGGAGUUCACGGAAAGAGACCCCAAGGCUUCAGACAGUCUGUUGCCCUGAGAUCAGUGUGAAGUGGUUUGCACAGCUCAUUUCUACCCUGGGUGAAGCUCUGAGCAGCUUGAACACUUGCCAGCAACAUUCCAAAUUUCUCAGCCCAUUUAAAGACCUAAAUAUUAUUAAAUCUCUUAACAUUUUAUGGGUCCCAAAAGUAACCAUUUAUUUCACCAAGCCAAAAAAAAAAAA
rnacentral:lncRNA from 1 species